rnacentral:rRNA from 1 species
GUGAGGAAUCUUCCACAAUGGGCGAAAGCCUGAUGGAGCAACGCCGCGUGAAGGAUGAAGGUCUUCGGAUUGUAAACUUCUUUUAUGAGUGAAGAAUAUGACGGUAACUCAUGAAUAAGCACCGGCUAACUACGUGCCAGCAGCCGCGGUCAUACGUAGGGUGCAAGCAUUAUCCGGAGUGACUGGGCGUAAAGAGUUGCGUAGGCGGUUAUGUAAGCGAAUAGUGAAACCUGGUGGCUCAACCACACAGACUAUUAUUCGAACUGCAUAACUCGAGAACGGUAGAGGUAACUGGAACUUCUUGUGUAGGAGUGAGAUCCGUAGAUAUAAGAAGUAACACCAAUGGCGUAGGCAGGUUACUGGGCCAUUUCUGACGCUAAGGCACGAAAGCGUGGGGAGCGAACCGGAUUAGAAACCCGGGUAGUCC